AGAGUUUGAUCCUGGCUCAGGAUGAACGCUAGCUACAGGCUUAACACAUGCAAGUCGAGGGGAAACGAUAUUGGAAGCUUGCUUCCGAUAGGCGUCGACCGGCGCACGGGUGAGUAACGCGUAUCCAACCUGCCCACCACUUGGGGAUAACCUUGCGAAAGUAAGACUAAUACCCAAUGAUAUCUCUAGAAGACAUCUGAAAGAGAUUAAAGAUUUAUCGGUGAUGGAUGGGGAUGCGUCUGAUUAGCUUGUUGGCGGGGUAACGGCCACCAAGGCGACGAUCAGUAGGGGUUCUGGAGACGGAAGGUCCCCCACAUUGGAACUGAGACACGGUCCAAACGUCCGUACGGGAGGCA
rnacentral:rRNA from 1 species